rnacentral:misc_RNA from 1 species
ACAAGCCGUGAAGGUCACCUCCCAAAAGGAUGGUGAUCUCUCACCCGGCCACCCUUGUUUACCUUAACCUGUUGCUUUGGUGGGCCCGCCGCAAGGCCGCUGGGGGACACUUUGUUCUCGGGUGAGUGCCCACCAAAGUCCUUUUGAAUUCUCAAGGUUUUAUGCAAGUCUAAGCAUGCAAAAUGAAUUUUUGUUA